UAGAUACCCUGGUAGUCCGCACGGUAAACGAUGGAUGCCCGUUCUCCGGCUUUUUUGUCGGGGGACCGAGCGAAAGCAUUGAGCAUCCCACCUGGGGAGUACGCCGGCAACGGUGAAACUCAAAGGAAUUGACGGGGGCCCGCACAAGCGGAGGAACAUGUGGUUUAAUUCGAUGAUACGCGAGGAACCUUACCCGGGCUUGAAUUGCAGACGAACGAUUCAGAGAUGAUGAGGCCCUUCGGGGCGUCUG
rnacentral:rRNA from 1 species